AUGAGCAGUGUGUAGGUCUGUGCCCGGGAUCUGAACUUGUGAACCCCAGGCCGCUGAAGCAGAGCACAGGAACUUAACGACUAUGCCACCAGACAAGCCGCUGUAUGACUUUUAAACAGAGACGGCAAUGAUGGGAUGAUCCAGCCAAGAUGAAAAACUCAUUGGUGUUAUUUCAUCUCCGUGGUAAAUAUUCCACAGCCAUCUCUCCCGGCCGCUGGUCUCUACACCACGUCGCCCUGUUCCUGCUGAGUCAGGUCGGAACAGCCUUGCCUAGGAAAACUUUGAGGCUGUGUUGACCCAAUGCCCAGUCACUUGGUUCAGAGAAACCUCAGGAAACCUGAGUGGCGAGAUGCCUGGAUGAUAGUUUUGUUAUGUUCUCACCAUGGAAUCCUGAAAGGAAAGGAUGGAAAGAAAAAGAAAGGCAGAGAGUGGAGUUUGAAUACUUAUGACAAUCUACCUGACACUGGACUUUCAUCAAGUCAAUAUGUGACUUUAGCAGAAAUGUAUCUUAAAGAAGCAUAUAGUGAAACAUCAGAUCUAAUGAGAUACUCAUAAAGGGGUCAACAUGCUCAACAACAAUGUGUUAAGCACCUGCUACGUACAAGACGUUGCAAAAUUCUGGGACUGAGGUUGGAAGAGAUGAAAAGUAAUGAGGGAUAUAGAUGAAUGAGACAUGGUCUUUCUCCCCAAGGAGCUUCCGGUCUGGGCAGGGAGAUACGCUUCUACAGGGUAAGCAUGGAAAAUAUGGAAAAGCUGUGGGACAGCAGAGAGAAGACGCCUGGAGGUGGAUCUUAGGCUUAGAUUCAAAAUAAGUUUCCCUUACUUACUGGUCUAGACUAAGUACAGGACAUCAAGUACAGGACACCCAGUUAAAUGUGAAUUUUAAAUAAACAAUGAAUAAUUUUUCACUAUAAGUAUACCCCAUUGCGUGGGACAUGCUUACACUAAAAAAUUACUUUUUUAAAAAAUCUGAAAUUAAAAUUUAGCAGAGCAUCUGUAUUUUUAUUUGCUAAAUCUGACAACCGUACCCUAGGCAAGUGCUGGUUAUUCAUAGUUUGCCAAGCCCAUCCACCCUUUCCUACGCCACUCUGGAGGCUCCUGGAGGCUGACCCCUGUGAUCUCUAUUUCCUGUGCUCUCCUACCAGUCGGCUUCUUGUUGAGUCAGCCUGUGGGAGGGCCUGAGAGGAGGGCAAACUCCAGGAGGAAAGAGAGGCGGGUUCUCUUCCUUGCCUCUUCUGUGCCUCAGCAAAGCAUCUCUGGUGGUAGCAUAUUCCUGUGCCUACAGCUCAUGCCUGACAGCUCCUCCUGCAUGGUUUCAGCUCUCCUGGGGCUCUGGUCACACGUUUUCCUCCCAUUGCUCCUCCAGGCUUGGGAGUAGCAACAACUUCCCUUUGCUGCUCUUCUCUGGGUGCCUCAGCAUCCCUUUUGGUUAUCCUAACUGUGCCCGUAUCCCUGUAGGUAGUAUAUUAUCAUCUUCAUUGGAGUCACUGAGUUAAAUUCUCUUUCCUUCCUGGACCCUGAUUGGUAAAGCACGUCUCUUUAACUUCUUUGAGCCUCAUCUCUUUAUUUAUAAAAUGAGGAGCAAUUGGCUCCAAGGCUCAGGAGUUAGAGCGCUGGUCUUAUAAAGAGAGGAGAGGAAUGCUUCCUUCACGCAUUUCUUUGGUGAGGAGGUUAUGCAUGUGGAUAUCAUGGACUGGGGGUGGGGGCUCUAACAUUUGAAUUGAUAUUUAGCACAUCGUAUCAACACUUUCCGGCUCUGGUAUGGCUGAGAAGAUCUACAGAUAACAACUCUAAACUCUUGCCCAAAUAUUAAAAUCAACUAUAUGAAGGAACUGGAUAAUGACCCAAAGCAGGCAGAUACUGGAGCAGAGUUAACCAGUGGAUGAGGGGAACAGCACUGGGUGAGUUUCUCAUUUUUAUAGCUUUUUUUUUUUUUUUUUUUGAGGAAGAUUAGCCCUGUGCUAACUGCUGCCAAUCCUCCUCCUUUUGCUGAGGA